GAGGAAUAUUGGUCAAUGGGCGGAAGCCUGAACCAGCCAUGCCGCGUGAAGGACGAAGGCGUUCUGCGUUGUAAACUUCUUUUAUAAGGGAAGAAACCUACGAUUUCUAUUGUAGCCGACGGUACCUUAUGAGUAAGCACCGGCUAACUCCGUGCCAGCAGCCGCGGUAAUACGGAGGGUGCAAGCGUUAUCCGGAUUUACUGGGUUUAAAGGGUGUGUAGGCGGGCUUGUAAGUCAGGGGUGAAAUCCUACAGCUUAACUGUAGAACUGCCUUUGAUACUAUAAGUCUUGAAUAUUGUUGAGGUAGGCGGAAUACAUCAUGUAGCGGUGAAAUGCUUAGAUAUGAUGUAGAACACCGAUUGCGAAGGCAGCUUACUAAGCAAAUAUUGACGCUGAGGCACGAAAGCGUGGGGAUCAAAC
rnacentral:rRNA from 1 species